rnacentral:lncRNA from 1 species
AACAUGAAAAGCAAAAGAACAAUCAGAAAAAAUCAUGAUUGAGGUAAAUAUAAUGCCAAUGACACAGCUACUGUUCUUUAUUUCUCCAAGGUGACACCAAGAACGGGACUGACUAUCUUUUCAGGGAGGCAGUUCUCAGGGGGACUAUGCUGUUCAAGUCUCUCUUGUUUUUCAAUCCAUGCCAUAACUUUCAAAACUGAUCCUUGAUCAUGUCAAACUUGUCCUUGCAUGCAGAGCUCUGGCUAUAUUUGUUCCAUCAAAAGGUUCUUCCAAGCAGAUGAACUUAUUUCACCACUCAAUGCCAUCAGGCCUCCGGAUGGCUUUGGGUUCAUGAACUGAAAUCAUUUGACUGUUCCAGUCAAAUUCUGUAGCAUAAUAUUUAAGAAAGUCUAGCAAGAGGUCUUCAAGAAUUGAUUCAUUCUUUGAGAGGUAAGGAGGAACAUAAGAUGGACUAAAAUAUUCUGGGUAAAUUUUUUGGAGGAAUGGAAGGUUGGGUUAGGCAAGGUCUUUAAAUAGUGCAAAACUGUCAACAAGACUAUAGCUGUUUAAAGUACCAUGACUGGUGCUAUUUAUAUCAUGGUGACUGGCCCACUUAUUAACCACCAAAACUAGUGGAUCAACUCAAAUUCAAAGUAUGCAUAAGUUCUGAGAAGGUAUGUGUUUCUUAUUCCAGCAAUAUUUACAUUCAAAUCAAAUUCCACACAACUGACUUCAUCCCUAAACUCCACAACUGGCACUUUUGCACAAAUCAGCUGCGGUCUCUCAAUUUACCCAGAGAGUCUGGAACAGAAGUGUUUAUGGACUAAGGUUAUUGAGGAGCUUCAUGACAGACUUGUUUUGCCACAAAGGACACGGACUAUGAAGAUCCUUUAGUAAUGGCAUCUACAUGGCUUUUAAAUUGAAGACUGCAGCUUUUGAAAAGAGAAAAAACAUUUUAAGCAGUAAAUAGAUAAUAUACAAUUUCACAGAUAAUUCACUUCUGAUUUGGUUUCCAUACAUUAUCUGCUAAAGUUUAUGUUAAUACAGAAUCAGAAAUCAUGAACAAGGUUGUUUCUAAAUUGUAGUAAAACCUAGAAAAAUUAUUUCUUGAUUGGCAAACUGAUUUUCUGUCCUUGUUUUUUUUCUAAGUAAUAAAAGGCAACCAACAGAAAGAAACCUAGAUGAU